CUUUUUAAUUGGGGGCUGGAAUGAAAGGUAGAUACCAAUGGGAAAGUUUUUUUAAAUAAAUUUGAAAUUAAUUUAAAAGUAAAAAAGCUUUUAUUAAUCCUUGGGACGAGAAGACCCUAGAAGUUUGAAAUGUUUAAUUUUUUAUUGGGGAAAUAAUUGAAGAUAUAAAUUUUUAAUUAAUAAAUUUAAUUUAUUGAAAUUACUCUAGGGAUAACAGCGUUAUUUAAUUAAUGAGUUCUUAUUAAGAAUUAAGUUUGCGACCUCGAUGUUGAAUUAAAUUAUAUUUAUGGUGAAGGAGCUAUAAUAUUUAGUCUGUUCGACUAUUAAAAAUUUACGUGAUCUGAGU
rnacentral:rRNA from 1 species